rnacentral:lncRNA from 1 species
GAGGUGAUCAUCCCAGAUGAAAAAGACAGGAAAUAAAAUUAUGUGCACAGUUCUCCUGUUGAGGAGCAGCAGCAACACAAUUCUGUAGAAUGACAAUGAUGUUUACAGUGGUGUGGGAGGAUGAGCUGAUGUGUGCACACUAAUGAAGGCUCUGACUUGCUUCUGUGAUUAAUUAUUUCAACAAAAUCUAAGAAAUUUUGGAUUGGUUCCCAUUUUGCUUCGAAGUAGCAACACCAUAUUAGUGAGCUAAAAAGAGACUUUUUAGUUUUAUAUUGUUGCAUGUAUUUCAGGUGUCACUGUAGCUUAUUCCUGAAAUCCCUUGUUGUAAUUGAGUGUUUCCAAUAAAAGAAUAAAC